UACGGAGGGAGCUAGCGUUGUUCGGAAUUACUGGGCGUAAAGCGCGCGUAGGCGGCUUUGUAAGUUAGAGGUGAAAGCCCGGAGCUCAACUCCGGAACUGCCUUUAAAACUGCAUCGCUUGAAUCCAGGAGAGGUGAGUGGAAUUCCGAGUGUAGAGGUGAAAUUCGUAGAUAUUCGCAAGAACACCAGUGGCGAAGGCGGCUCACUGGCCCGGUACUGACGCUGAGGUGCGAAAGCGGUGGG
rnacentral:rRNA from 1 species